GUUUACAGACUGUUAACAAGUUGUGAUUCACAAUUAAUCCCGUAAUGAGUGUAGAUGGUGCUGUAUCGGUUUACUAUUAGUUCCCUGCAACAUUUCCUCAGAGAUGCUUAAUGCAUUUCUUAUGCGAUUUGCCCGAAAUAUUUCACAUAUGUAGUUAUUUGUUGUGACUUCCAAUAUCUAUGGAAGGUAUGGUAUGGUAACGCGAAAUAGCAUUAUAAAACCGACCGUUAGAGCAUAUGGCUACGUUAAAUUCCUUUGCAAACGUAAACAGUUUUAUUAAUCAAAAGAAUUAGAAUCAGGUAGCGAACCCCAUGGCAGCCGGUUGUAUGCACCGGAUUGACCCGAUGGAAUUCUUCAUCGGCAAGGGCUGCCGCCUCAGUGUACGUGUUCGUCUUUUUCGUCAUUGGAUUGGCACAGAGUAAUUAAGAAAUUGUUCUGGUCUGUGGAGGGAUUUAAAAGAACCCCUGACCUUGGUUCUGUUCGGUUUGCCAGAACCGCCUCCACCAUCGGUCGGUGUCGGUGAGGUGUAACCGGUGCAUGGAGUGGUUACAUUUCCGAUCUUGCUCUGGCCUUACACCACUACGGGAAUAUAGUCACACGAAUAUGUUGCAAGGUACUGUGCGGACAUACACAACAGUGGGUCACAAGCGUCGCCGUCGUUGUCGGACUAUGUAACCCCCGACCACUCCCGUGCGGGAAUAUACGCAACAGCAGCAUCCCAGCUCCAAUAUUGCCAGACCAGUUGCCGGGAAGUGUAUCUUUUGAAUUGAAUUGCAAUGGUAUGAGAGGCAAGAUCGACGAGAUAGUGGAUUUUGUGAGUCGGAAGAACAUAUUGGUUGCAGCGAUCCAGGAUACAAAGCUGACCAACACCUGCAGUUUGCACAGUUGUCAAGGAUACAAUGUGCUACGCUUAAGGAAUGGAGGUGAUAAGUUGGUCUCCGUAAUACACUAUUCCGUGCAAUAAAGACCCAUCUCGCCUGCGCCUGGCGCUAAUGACCCCAACAUGGAGUGCAUGGGGAUAGCAUUUAGGUCUGGUACUGCCGUGAUAGAGUUAUAAUACUACGUGUACAUACCGCAGGUUGGUCUUUGUGACCCAUUAAUGGCCAAGCUUAUAAGCCCACAUUAGUUGGCUACUCUCUGGCCAUAAUCGUCUGGUUCCAGGAGACUUUAUUGCGUAUCAAGUUUCAUGGCAUUCUACCCUAGGUAACGGGCAGCGGGGCAAAGCAGAUUGAAGGCUCCACGUAUUGCACGGUGAAUGAGGAUGCCCCCAAUAGGAUUACGAGAAGAUGUAGCAGUUCGCCACACAUAACCAUUGCAUCCCCUGAUCUGAAUAAGCCGUCAUUUGUUUGGGAUCAGACAUCGACCGUCCACCCGACUUCACAACCUCUUAGCGCCCGUUGUUUAUCAAUCAAAAGAUGGCCGUAUCGGCUUCAAAGAGUACACCAAUCGCCGCUUCAUUCAACUGACAGCUCCUCCAAUGUUCUAGUUGCCGAGAGGAAAUUCCGAGACAUCAGUAACGCAGCAGCCGCUAGCUUUAAACCAGCCGCUCGAAUACACCAAGUUCAGUCCAAUUACCCAGCGCAGACAGUAGUACUUGCAGACAAGCGUGAUGGGAUUCUUUGCACGGACACCACUAACCCCAGAAUCUGCAAAUUAUAAUAAAAGGGUAUUCAACGAGCAUAAGCGGGAUUUGUGGCUGUAACACUCAGAGCAAUGUAACUUAGGUUCGAGUCACACUCGAACCCCGUUAGACGGGACGACAGGACCUCAGUCCCUUUUGGCGACUUAACCGCGACUGAUCCGUAGGAUAUGCCAGGUUGUUCAACCGUCAAUUUAUUGUGCAUCCCGAGAGUGACAGGGCUAGGAGGAGAGCCAUUCGUCGAAUCCGUGGUCUCCGGAUUAUUUUUAUUUUUUAUUUAUUUGUUUUUAUUUUGUACGACAAAACCAAAGUCAUAUAAAGGUUAGCACCUGUAUUGUACUAUAAAUUCAAUUUCAUAUCCGUAAUUGUAUAUAAUGAAUAAAAUGUGUGACUAACAUACAAUACAAA